rnacentral:antisense_RNA from 1 species
CUUGGGCUGAACCGACAGCUGGGGGACCCCACAGCACCGUGACCUGCCCAAAGCCUGGCAGAGCAGAGCAGCCCCUGCCGCCUGCACGCCGGACGCCAGGACCCACUUACCAUACACACCCACCGUGAACUCGAACUGAUCUGGAACUUUCCAGCUGGGAGGUUUGAUGGAGGGAACUUCCACACCCAGCCCCUGGGAAGAGCUCUUUGAGUCUGAAGAGAAGGCAGAGGAGAAGUUGGUUUGCUGAAGUCCAGAAGAGGCUCUGAGGUAGAGAUGGGGUUUCGCCAUGUUGGCCAGGCUUAUCAGGAACUCCUGACCUCAAGUGAUCUGCCCGCCUCAGCCUCCCAGUGUUGGGAUUACAGGCGUGAGCCACCAUGCCCGGACUAAUACUGGACACUCCCUCAUGGAAUCCAGCCGCCACACUGCGAGGAUCAGCA